UGGGGAAUAUUGGACAAUGGGCGCAAGCCUGAUCCAGCCAUGCCGCGUGAGUGAUGAAGGCCUUAGGGUUGUAAAGCUCUUUCGCCGGUGAAGAUAAUGACGGUAACCGGAGAAGAAGCCCCGGCUAACUUCGUGCCAGCAGCCGCGGUAAUACGAAGGGGGCUAGCGUUGCUCGGAAUCACUGGGCGUAAAGCGCACGUAGGCGGAUCGUUAAGUCAGGGGUGAAAUCCUGGAGCUCAACUCCAGGACUGCCCUUGAUACUGGCGAUCUCGAGUUCGAGAGAGGUUGGUGGAACUCCGAGUGUAGAGGUGAAAUUCGUAGAUAUUCGGAAGAACACCAGUGGCGAAGGCGGCCAACUGGCUCGAUACUGACGCUGAGGUGCGAAAGCGUGGGGAGCAAAACAGGAUUAGAUACCCUGGUAGUCCACGCCGUAAAACGAUGGAUGCUAGCCGUUGGGGGGUUUACCUCUCAGUGGCGCAGCUAACGCCUUAAGCAUCCCGCCUGGGGAGUACGGUCGCAAGAUU
rnacentral:rRNA from 1 species